UUCUUAUUGGAUGAUGACUGUCACAUGUCAUGUUCUGAUUGGAUGUCAACUCCAUGAAAGAUGAAAUGCAUUGUUGUUUUCAUUGACCAAUACACGUGACAAUCAUCAUCCAAUAAGAACAUGACAUGUGACAGUCAACAUCA
rfam:Glycine soja cultivar W05 scaffold909_4, whole genome shotgun sequence.